GACGAACGCUGGCGGCGUGCCUAAUACAUGCAAGUUGAGCGAUGAAGAUUGGUGCUUGCACCAAUUUGAAGAGCCGCGCACGGGUGAGUAACGCGUGGGGAAUCUGCCUUUGAGCGGGGGACAACAUUUGGAAACGAAUGCUAAUACCGCAUAAUAACUUUAAACAUAAGUUUUAAGUUUGAAAGAUGCAAUUGCAUCACUCAAAGAUGAUCCCGCGUUGUAUUAGCUAGUUGGUGAGGUAAAGGCUCACCAAGGCGAUGAUACAUAGCCGACCUGAGAGGGUGAUCGGCCACAUUGGGACUGAGACACGGCCCAAACGCCUACGGGAGGCAGCAGUAGGGAAUCUUCGGCAAUGGACGAAAGUCUGACCGAGCAACGCCGCGUGAGUGAAGAAGGUUGUCGGAUCGUAAAACUCUGUUGGUAGAGAAGAACGGUGGUGAGAGUGGAAAGCUCAUCAAGUGACGGUAACUACCCAGAAAGGGACGGCUAACUACGUG
rnacentral:rRNA from 1 species